GAGGGUAUAGCUCAAGUGGUAGAGUGCAUGCUUGAUAUGCAUGAGGUCCCAGGUUCAAUCCCCUGCACCUCUU
rnacentral:tRNA from 1 species